GGUGGGAACUGUGGCAGGAGCAGCCCCGGCUCUGGUCAUGAUCUGCAAUCAGCCGUCAAGUUCUGGUUUUCUUGUGUUGACUGGCCUGAAGUAAAAGAGAGAUGUAUGAGGAGAUGAUGAAGCUACACAUGGAUGCUCUUCUGUUACAGCUCCUGGAUCAGAUUCUCAGCUGACAGAGCUACAGGAUUUAUGUCUCCAGCAAUUAAAAGUUGAAAGAGACCAGGUAAAGAGAAGUGAAGAACAAAUUAAGGAACCUUCAAUUUUCACUUCACAUUUACUUUCACUAGCAAUACCAGCUUCAGAGGGCUUUGCUGCAAAUAAACCCUGUGACUGCAUGUAUAUGAAAGAGAACUGAAACUUUGGUCAGUUAUCAGCUCCAUAUUUUCAUUUUUCUGGUUGUGACCUGAUGUUUUCUUCUGUUGGCUUCAUGCAACUUGUCUCAAACUAUGUUUGCAGGAGGAAGGAUUUCUUACCUUUCCUUUGGGGCUGGCUGCUGCUCAAGGAAAGAGCCUCUUGGUGUUCAUGUCUGUAUAAAUACACCCACCUAUUCACUCUGUCAAGUCUCUAUUGCUCUUUUCUCAUCUCCCUGCUCUGAAAUGUUUUCUAGUUUUAGUGAGUGGUUCCUCAGCAACUCAAAAAGAAAAAAAGACAAAUGUUCUUGGUGUGUAGUAUUUGCUCACUCCUGUCCUAUUAGAGAAAAUGUGCAGGUACUCUACUCAGUGUCAGAUUCUUAGAUUAGGAAUUAUCUAAGCCUGAGUUCUUUUUUUAUUUAUUUAUUACUGUUUUAACUACUGCAUUCUCUAAACACUAAAAUGUUUAGUUUUUAGAUCCAGGUUUAUUCAAAGUUUUAUUCAGAGUGAGAUUUUCCCUAUUGUGCCUGUCAAGUGUCCUAUUUCACUACUCAGUAAGGCAAUUGAAACUACACGAGCAUUUGUUUCUCUGUAAUUUUCAACUGAUACAGAGCCACAAGCAGCAGUAGUUUAAAGUGUAGAAAAAAAAAGGAGCAUGUUUUCCACCGUUUAUUAUCCAGAGAUGUGCUGAUUGGGUUUGGAUGAACUGGCAAUAAACACUGCCUUGCUUCAAUGGAAGUACUUGAUCUCUGCAACAGAUAUAAGAAAUACCUAAGAUCCUCAGUAGAGACUUGUUUUAUCUGUACCAAUAACUGCUUUAGCAUGAGUCUGUCUGUACACUAGCUGUGUCCUUAAAAUCUGAAGAAUACUUGAUCAUUAAAAUCAGAAGAUGUGCUCCAGUUCAGGAAUUCUCACACCAGAGCAGGAAUCCUAAAUGCAUCUGACUGCAGCUCAGCACUGAGGAAACUUUUUGUCAGACACAGGAAAAGCAAUUGAUGGCCACUCAUGGCUUUCCUACAACUAAUGGAAAAACAGAGAACAAUAGGAAAGACUAUUUUAAAAUGUGGCUCAUUCUUAGAGCCCUGUGAGACUCACCUAUGAC